GUGUACGACCAUGCUACCCUAAAAAAGCCCAAUCCCGUCUGAUCUCGGAAGCUAAGCAGGGUCGGGCAUGGUUAUUAGUACUUGGAUGGGAGACCACCUGGGAAGACCAGGUGCUGUAGGCG
rnacentral:rRNA from 1 species